rnacentral:tRNA from 1 species
CGUCCCAUAGCUCAGCCGGUAGAGCACUCGACCGAUAAUCGAGAGGCCGCGAGUUCAAACCUCGCUGGGACAACCA